AUUGAACGCUGGUGGCAGGCUUAACACAUGCAAGUCGAACGGUAACAGGAAUUAGCUUGCUAAUUUGCUGACGAGUGGCGGACGGGUGAGUAAUGCUUGGGAAUCUGGCUUAUGGAGGGGAUAACUACGGGAAACUGUAGCUAAUACCGCGUAAAAUCUUCGGAUUAAAGGGUGGGACUUUCGAGCCACCUGCCAUAAGAUGAGCCCAAGUGGGAUUAGGUAGUUGGUUAGGUAAAGGCUGACCAAGCCGACGAUCUCUAGCUGGUCUGAGAGGAUGACCAGCCACACUGGAACUGAGACACGGUCCAGACUCCUACGGGAGGCAGCAGUGGGGAAUAUUGCACAAUGGGGGGAACCCUGAUGCAGCCAUGCCGCGUGAAUGAAGAAGGCCUUCGGGUUGUAAAGUUCUUUCGGUGACGAGGAAGGUUGAUAGGUUAAUAGCCUAUCAAAUUGACGUUAAUCACAGAAGAAGCACCGGCUAACUCCGUG
rnacentral:rRNA from 1 species